rnacentral:rRNA from 1 species
GAUGAACGCUGGCGGCGUGCCUAAUACAUGCAAGUCGAGCGAACGGACGAGAAGCUUGCUUCUCUGAUGUUAGCGGCGGACGGGUGAGUAACACGUGGAUAACCUACCUAUAAGACUGGGAUAACUUCGGGAAACCGUAGCUAAUACCGGAUAAUAUUUUGAACCGCAUGGUUCAAAAGUGAAAGACGGUCUUGCUGUCACUUAUAGAUGGAUCGGCGCUGCAUUAGCUAGUUGGUAAGGUAACGGCUUACCAAGGCAACGAUGCAUAGCCGACCUGAGAGGGUGAUCGGCCACACUGGAACUGAGACACGGUCCAGACUCCUACGGGAGGCAGCAGUAGGGAAUCUUCCGCAAUGGGCGAAAGCCUGACGGAGCAACGCCGCGUGAGUGAUGAAGGUCUUCGGAUCGUAAAACUCUGUUAUUAGGGAAGAACAUAUGUGUAAGUAACUGUGCACAUCUUGACGGUACCUAAUCAGAAAGCCACGGCUAACUACGUG